UUGUAACAGCCCGGAAAUCCGGACCGCUACCGGCGCUAGGAUUCAGAUCGGCGUAAGGCCGCCGGAAUCCGUAGCAAGCCUAACAUAUAACCUGUAACCCUGUGCAAUCCCAUACAUGAUCCGACAUAUCAUAAACCUGUAACAUUUCCACAUAUCAACCAAGCAUAACAUGUACAUAUACAUAAUCAUAAACAUGAACCUCCACUGGAGCCCUCAUCAAAUGCUCCAAUGGGGUAACUCAUCAUACAUAAACUUGGUUAAAACUGAACAUCAUAUCUCAUAACAUAAGGAUCAUGUGUACACAAGUGGGAUUAACAACAUAUAAUGGUCAAGCACAACUCUAUCCUCAAUAUUCAAUUACAUGACAUAACUUACAAUACUAUUACAUUACAACAUUUUAUCAUGUCCACUCUAUCUAUUACAAGGCAAACAUAACUUCUACUCCUGUUGACUUCCUGGUCUACCUUGUACCUGCACAUCUGGGGUUAGGGGAGAGGGGUGAGCUAUAAAGCCCAGUGAGCAGAAUAGGGAAAACAUUAUAUUUUAUAAGUUUCAUGCUUUCAUGAAAUGCAACACAACACAAACAUAUCACGUAAGGAUGGACUUGUCACCAACAACCCUCUACAUAAUCCAAUAAUGCCAGGGGCGUAGUGCAGGCCACACCUGGACUUUCUCUUACAUAAACAUAACAUAACAUAGUCCAAUAGUGCUGGGGGCGUAG
rnacentral:lncRNA from 1 species